AUUGAACGCUGGCGGCAGGCCUAACACAUGCAAGUCGAACGGUAGCACAGAGAGCUUGCUCUCGGGUGACGAGUGGCGGACGGGUGAGUAAUGUCUGGGAAACUGCCUGAUGGAGGGAGAUAACUACUGGAAACGGUAGCUAAUACCGCAUAACGUCGCAAGACCAAAGAGGGGGACCUUCGGGCCUCUUGCCAUCAGAUGUGCCCAGAUGGGAUUAGCUAGUAGGCGGGGUAAUGGCCCACCUAGGCGACGAUCCCUAGCUGGUCUGAGAGGAUGACCAGCCACACUGGAACUGAGACACGGUCCAGACUCCUACGGGAGGCAGCAGUGGGGAAUAUUGCACAAUGGGCGCAAGCCUGAUGCAGCCAUGCCGCGUGUGUGAAGAAGGCCUUCGGGUUGUAAAGCACUUUCAGCGGGGAGGAAGGCGGUACGGUUAAUAACCGUGCCGAUUGACGUUACCCGCAGAAGAAGCACCGGCUAACUCCGUGCCAGCCGCCGCAGUAA
rnacentral:rRNA from 1 species